rnacentral:snoRNA from 1 species
CACCGAAGGCGAUGGGCGGACUGAAUGCGACCGUACAAUUGCUCUCCUCGUGUUGCGAAAAGCCUUUCAGAU